GAUGAAGAACGUAGCGAAAUGCGAUAAGUAAUGUGAAUUGCAGAAUUCAGUGAAUCAUCGAAUCUUUGAACGCACAUUGCGCCCGCCAGUAUUCUGGCGGGCAUGCCUGUUCGAGCGUCAUCUCAACCAUCAAGCCCCGGGCUUGUGUUGGGGACCUGCGGCUGCCGCAGGCCCUGAAAUGCAGUGGCGGGCUCGCUGUCACUCCGAGCGUAGUAGUUACAUCUCGCUCUGGGCGUGCUGCGGGUUCCGGCCGUUAAAAGCCUUAUUUACCCAAGGUUGACCUCGGAUCAGGUAGGAAGACCCGCUGAACUUAAGCAUAUCAAUAAGCGGAGGA
rnacentral:misc_RNA from 1 species